rnacentral:rRNA from 1 species
UACGUAGGGUGCAAGCGUUGUUCGGAAUUACUGGGCGUAAAGCGCGCGUAGGCGGACCUGCAAGUCGGGGGGUGAAAGCCCGAGGCUCAACCUCGGAACUGCCUUCGAUACUGCGGGUCUCGAGUCCGGGAGAGGUGAGUGGAAUUCCUAGUGUAGAGGUGAAAUUCGUAGAUAUUAGGAAGAACACCAGUGGCGAAGGCGGCUCACUGGCCCGGUACUGACGCUGAGGCGCGAAAGCGUGGGGAGCAAACAGG